GUCUGUCACAGUGCCUGUCACCCAGCCAACAUUCAGGACACAUGGGAGCACUGUCAGAUGGAAUCAUACUGUCCCCUUCCAAUUCAAACAAAGUUCAAAUUUCCUUUACAACAUAUUCCAAACCUUCUCCUUCCAUGUGGCUGUAUUCAUGAGACUUGCAUUCUGGGUAAAUGCAGACAUACUUGAAUCACAAGGGGAAACAGCAGGCUAUUUGGGGAAAUUGUCAGAGCUAACAAGUGCAUGAAAGUCGAUUAAUAUAUUUUCUGUGGCCUUUAAUUUUGAGAAAGAACAACAAAAACAAAACAAAAAAAUGAAUAAAUAAAAUCAAUGAAAUGAGGUUCUUCAGAGACUGAACCAGGAGGGAUAAUGCCACAGAACUGCAGGAAGUGCUCAUGACUCUGCUUAGAAUCCAAGCUGAAACUUGGACGCUCUUGAAACAAAUGGGAAAUACUAUCAAUGCAGCAUGAGAAAUCACUGCAGGGUUUGCUCUGCUACCGUGGUGGGCACAACGCCCAGCUGCAGUGAAGCUGAGUGUUAUUGAAUAUAAUGUUUCAAUAAUGAUGUUAUAUUGGUUCUUAUUCUUGAACAAAUGGAAAAUUAUACUUGUAAUCCAUCAACAGCGAUCCGUGAUUAAAGGCCUCAUUAUCACUGAGAAAGAGAGCAUAAUGAGCUGCCAGUUAUGAACAGCAACAACGUUCCUGUGAAACCAGGGGACUCAUUACCCUAUGUCCAAGCAGAAACACUGGUGGGCACAGAGGUGGCCCUGAAGUCAGGAUAUAACCAGGGCCACCUACUGAUUUGACUGCAGUGUUUAGCAAAUGUGAGUAAGGUUAGAAAAAUGUGAGCUUCUCAGUGGAUCUUUGUAUGGGGGAUGUUCUCUCCAGGAGAUCUCCUGUGAUGAGCAAAGCCAGCCUCAUUUAAGAACUUGUUUUCUCAGGAAACAAUGGUGAGGCCAGCAGGAGACCUGAUCCGAGAAGUUCAAGGUCAGGCUUUAAAGACUGAAGUUCUGAUUAUCUUCUUAUAUCAACGCUGCUUCCCAUUUUCACUCAAAAUAUCGGCACACAUAUUAGAGAUGAAUUAGCAUUCAUCCUGACUUUUGUUCAAGUGGAACUGGGUUAACACUGGCAAGGGCAGGUUUCCCUGAUACACCUGUUCCCAAACUAAGGGGCCAUUGCAGAGUCAGGAACAGGAGAAUGGUGGAACCUUUCAGCUCAACCAGAACACACUUACCUAGCUUCUCUGCUGGGGAUUCAUCUGCCUUCUGUGUGACUGCUGACUGUACCAGUCCACAGUCAGUGUCAGUACUGAGCAUCUUUUCUGGAGGGCUCAGGCUCACCCAUUGCCUCUGAGGCUCCCACAUGGACACACUCUUCAUGGGAGCUGAAGUCUACACUUGCAGAAGCACUCACAGGCAAGCUCACUAGAGCCCUGGGGCUGAAAUGGCUUUUAACCAAGUGCUCAGGAGGCAUACCUCUGCUUAUAUCUGCUCUUCUUAUGUGCUCUAUACUAGGGAGGGGGCUUUGUAUACUGCUGCCCUUGUCUUCAAAUAGGUAUACAUGUGAUAUGUGUGAUGAUAUAAAAAACACACACAUUAAUACUUAUAGCUUUAUAGUGAAAAUCUACAGCCAUACAUACCAUCCAGUGAUGGAUUCUAGAAACAGACUGUAGAGAAUUCCUUUCUUUCUUUUUUUUUUUUUCUUGUUUUGAGGCGAUUUUAUACAAUUUUAUAUGCUGUAAGAUUUUAAAAUAUUUUUGCUAUUUUCAUUUGUAGAUCUUGGCUCGGGUUGUCUUAGCUCUUUUGUUCCGCUGUACAGGGACACCCGCUUGACUUUUGAAGUAUCCUCUCCCUGCUUCAUGCCCUUCCCUUCGUGGUUUCCUUUGUGUCUCACAUUUUCUGUCAUUUCCCAAGUCUCUUCAGUGGCUUCUGUCCAGAUAAGCCAUGCUACCUGCAGUAUCAUUUGAGCACAGAGAAACACAAAAUAGUGGGGGGGGGGCACAUUUUCUAGUGUAAUCCAAAUGAGGAAGUGUUAAGUGUCUAAAGCAAAGUGAAGAAGCUAUACAGGGAGAAAGGGAUAUAUUGGUAAAGGGAGGCAAGGACAAGGAACUCAGAAUGGGAGGAAAUUUUUCAAAGCAACUUACAGGUUAAUACAAUGUUUUGUCUUCCUUGAUUGUAGGACAUUUUUUUUUUUCUGUUACAAGGGUUUUUUCCUCUGGAUGUUAUGUUCUCAUCAUGAGUCUGUAGACUCACUCAUUCCUUGUAGGGAGCUUCUCUCCCCUGCCUAUAUAGGAAUAGAAGGUAGAAACCCUUUCUAAGCCUUAGAUGUUGCUGCUGUUCAGAUCCAGACGGCUAGAUUUGUGACAAGUGUCUAAAAUGCUGUCAAGAACAUUUAGCAGAACUCUGAAGAAAGAAGGCUGCCAGCCUGCCAGACUUUUCCCAGAUUAGGCCACAUACCUAGUUGUUGGGAGAGGGGGAGUUAAGAAAUGUAUGGUUGUGGUACUGCAGAUGCCUUUCCAAAAAGGAAGAUCGGAAAUGGCUUGUGUUUACUUCAUGGCACAAUAUCAUGUACUUCCCUGAUGUGAGGGAGUCUCAGGCAGACAUAGUGCAGGUUUCAGCUUGCAUGUAUCCAUCACAGAGCAAGGGAAUGGCCAUCCAUUCUAAGGAAAAGUAUUCUGUCCCCUAUGGUGCUGUACCGUCAUGCUAAUUGUUCACACACUGUAACAUCACACCUCCAAAUGCAAAAUCGAAGCACGGGAUUCAUGUAAAAACAGAGAGUGCCAAACUGCUGUUAAAACAUUUAAAAAUAUGUUUAUUGUAAAUCUUUAUUGCACAAAAGAGCCUGAUAAUCCUUCAUGUAUAAUUCCCCCUAACAUCUAGUAAUAAAUAAUUGUAUGUUCCUCUAAUUGUCAAAUAAAGACAUUAGUUAACCUCUUUAUUGGAAUUUG
rnacentral:lncRNA from 1 species